GAUCUGUGAUAUAUGAAAGAUAAGCUGGAAACAAAAAUGGAAGGGAUAGGAGGAGCAUCUUCGGUGAGGAUUGAUAGGAAAUCCUCCAUAGAUUCCGAGCCCAGAACUUUGAGCAUCGAUCAAAUCCACUAUGCCAGGGAGGCAGCGCUGUAUGUGAUCAAAACUAUGUCCAUUGAAGAAGCAAUGAGUAUUUUCACGCAGGUAAAGCAAAGCCUAGCAUUGGAAAGAGAGAACUCUUGAUCGGUCAUAAAUUUUACAGAGUUUUAUAUGAAUGAUCACGAUCACUAAUUAUAUAUUUUUGGUUUCUUGAUUUCAAUGAUAUCUGCCAUAUGCAAGAGGCCCAAAUCCUUUACCAUGCACGCAUGCAUGCGGCUUAAAGUUAGAGAUCAUGGAUAACCCUCAUGAUGAUCCUUUGGUAGUUUGAUGCAUACAUGCAUAGGGAUUAGAACCAGUUGUUAGUGCUGGAAGGUGUAAGAAAAAUAAUGCAAUAUUGAUAGAUACAGGUGAAGAGCUGGAGCGUGCAGCUGGAGAUCAUCACCAUCUACCUGGACGCAGGGAUAUUGCAUCUGCACCUUUCUAGUUUUUUUUUUUUUUUUUUCUUUUUUUUUUAAUAUUUAAUUUUAUUAUUAUUAUAUCACAUACCAUGCCAAUUUUUUAUCGUCUUCUUCUUAAUUUUGAUCUUUUGUCAUGUAAAGAGGUUCGUCAUGUAUAGGAUGGAAUUUUGCCAAAUUUCCAUGAUCAUCCUAUUUGAUUGUUUCUCAUGAUCAUAUUUUCAAGAUUUUUUUAAGUUAGAAAAAACUCCCAUGAUUAUUAAUUGUGACGUACGAAUAUUGUUCAAAUAACACUACUUAUAUAAAUGACGUCA